AUCCCAGCCUCGAACAGCGUCUCGCUGGGCAGCUACAAAAUAAUGAAAUUUUGUAAAGAAAAACUCAUUUUUUCUAGUUAAAUGUACAUUCAUCACGUGAUCUGUGUUAUAGGCGAAUAGUAGAACGUUUGGAAAUAAGGAAUUAACCGGUAAUGUAUUUAUUAUAGCAACAAAGCAAAACAAAGAAAGAACAACACAAGUGAAAGAUGCAUUUCGUACGAUGACGUUUUAGCUAGAGAUACUGGUUUCUACAGCAAUUAUUAACUCUAAACGCUCCAUGUAAACAACCGUGCGACGAAACGCCGUACACAGCACUUUGCAAUUAGUACUUUAAUCACCAAUCAUGGAUUACAACAUUAGUCGACUGUGCCGCGUGUGCCUGGAGGAGGGAGUGUUUACAUCAAUAUUCAGCACCGAUCUGGUCGCAAUGGCACCGGCCAAUAUGCUCGUAAUGUGUGCCAACAUAAAGGUAUCGAGAGACGAUGGACUUCCCAGCACGAUCUGCAACAACUGUAUGUACCGGCUCGGGGUAGCAUUUCACCUAAAGCAGCAGUGUGAAAAUUCCGACAUGAGACUGCGCCAGUACAUGAACGGAGGCUCGGCCAUGAGCUACAGCUACACGCUGGACAAGGAAACGAUGACUGACGAAUCGUGGCUGCUGUCGGGCAUGGACCAUAAAGGCGACGAUCAAAAGUCGCCGGAAAAAAAAACAAACAGUAAAAAACGAUACCGAGUCAAACUGCCCGAGGAGCGCAAGAAGAGGGGGCCAAAACCGAUGCCAAAAAUUCCACAAACAUGCUACCAGUGUCACAAAUCCUUCAAGUGUGCCGCUCAACUGCAAAUGCAUCUGCGCACACACUCGGGCGAAAAGCCGUACGCAUGCAAUCUCUGUCCCCGCCGGUUCGCCCAAAAGCACAACCUUGCCAUCCACCUGCGGACGCACACGGGCGAACGGCCGUACCAGUGUGAGAUCUGCAGCAAACAGUUCUCCGCCCUGGGGAACUUUCAGGCGCACAAAAAGAUACACACGAACGAGCGGGAUCACGUGUGCCCGUCCUGCAACAAGGGCUUCAUUACGUCGGGCGAUCUGACCCGGCACAUGAUCUCACACUCGGGCAUCAAAAACUAUCACUGUGAUAUAUGUGCGAAAAGCUUCAGCCGGAACCGUGACAUGAUGGCACACAAGCGCAAGAUGCAUCUGGAAGAGUGUGGCAACGAGUGCUACAAGUGCCACGAGUGUCACAAAGUGUUCGCCACCCUGAACAAUCUGAACGUUCACAUGAGGGUGCAUGCGCAGGAGGUAAACGUGGCGGAUCCGGUGGGUGAGCUUAUGCCACCACACGGACAACAGCAGCAGCAGCAGCAGCAGCAGCAACAGCACCAGCAGCACCACCAGCAGCAGCAGCUCCAGCAUCAGCUCCAUCACCAACAACAGGCACAUCAGCAGGUUCCGGUACCACUCGCCCUCCCACCACACGCACUCGGUCCACCGGGCUCGCUUGGCGUUGGGUUGGGUAUGUUACCAUACCCGUCCUCCCACGUGCCAACCCAUCCACCGGCACAGGUAGCGUACCACAGUCAAAUCCAUCCAGCACAGCGGCUACACCCGUACUAAAAUGGGGCAUACAUCACCAAGGCUCGGCACCAAGGGGGAAAUUGUCAUCACAGUAUGGAAAGGAUCAUCACACACACAAUUGCAUACAUAAGUACUGUCCUCUUCCCUCUGUUCAUCUCGAUCGAUGCAUCCAGUUUUUCGAUAAAUGCUGCUACGAGCCAAACAACCCAUUUAUUCAUGAUUGCGAAACAACAAUAAAUCACUGCAAACCACACAGUGACUUCAUUGUAACACCUCC